AUUCUUUUCCAGUUCAUAAGCAUAAUAAUUGGGUGUUCGCACAUUUGUGUGACACAUGCCUCUCUUAAAUCUUGUUACGCAUUUGGUACAUUACCUGUGUGAUG